CCUACGGGUGGCAGCAGUGAGGAAUAUUGGUCAAUGGACGAGAGUCUGAACCAGCCAAGUAGCGUGAAGGAUGACUGCCCUAUGGGUUGUAAACUUCUUUUAUAUGGGAAUAAAGUGUUCCACGUGUGGGAUUUUGUAUGUACCAUAUGAAUAAGGAUCGGCUAACUCCGUGCCAGCAGCCGCGGUAAUACGGAGGAUCCGAGCGUUAUCCGGAUUUAUUGGGUUUAAAGGGAGCGUAGGUGGAUUGUUAAGUCAGUUGUGAAAGUUUACGGCUCAACCGUAAAAUUGCAUUUGAAACUGGCAGUCUUGAGUACAGUAGAGGAGGGCGGAAUUCGUGGUGUAGCGGUGAAAUGCUUAGAUAUCACGAAGAACUCCGAUGGCGAAGGCAGCUCACUGGACUGCAACUGACACUGAGGCUCGAAAGUGUGGGUAGCAAACAGGAUUAGAUACCCGGGUAGUC
rnacentral:rRNA from 1 species